UACGUAGGGUGCGAGCGUUGUCCGGAAUUAUUGGGCGUAAAGAGCUCGUAGGCGGUUUGUCACGUCUGCUGUGAAAUCCCGAGGCUCAACCUCGGGCCUGCAGUGGGUACGGGCGGACUGGAGUGCGGUAGGGGAGAAUGGAAUUCCUGGUGUAGCGGUGGAAUGCGCAGAUAUCAGGAGGAACACCGAUGGCGAAGGCAGCUCUCUGGGCCGUAACUGACGCUGAGGAGCGAAAGCGUGGGGAGCGAACAGG
rnacentral:rRNA from 1 species